rnacentral:rRNA from 1 species
AUUGAACGCUGGCGGCAGGCCUAACUCAUGCAAGUCGAGCGGAUGAAGGGAGCUUGCUCCUGGAUUCAGCGGCGGACGGGUGAGUAAUGCCUAGGAAUCUGCCUGGUAGUGGGGGAUAACAUCCGGAAACGGGCGCUAAUACCGCAUACGUCCUGAGGGAGAAAGUGGGGGAUCUUCGGACCUCACGCUAUCAGAUGAGCCUAGGUCGGAUUAGCUAGUUGGUGGGGUAAAGGCCUACCAAGGCGACGAUCCGUAACUGGUCUGAGAGGAUGAUCAGUCACACUGGAACUGAGACACGGUCCAGACUCCUACGGGAGGCAGCAGUGGGGAAUAUUGGACAAUGGGCGAAAGCCUGAUCCAGCCAUGCCGCGUGUGUGAAGAAGGUCUUCGGAUUGUAAAGCACUUUAAGUUGGGAGGAAGGGCAGUAAGUUAAUACCUUGCUGUUUUGACGUUACCAACAGAAUAAGCACCGGCUAACUUCGUG